rnacentral:rRNA from 1 species
CAGUCGCCGCGGUAAUGCGUAGGUGGCAAGCGUUGUCCGGAUUUAUUGGGCGUAAAGCGAGCGCAGGCGGUCAAUUAAGUCUGAUGUGAAAGCCCCCGGCUCAACCGGGGAGGGUCAUUGGAAACUGGUUGACUUGAGUGCAGAAGAGGAGAGUGGAAUUCCAUGUGUAGCGGUGAAAUGCGUAGAUAUAUGGAGGAACACCAGUGGCGAAGGCGACUCUCUGGUCUGUAACUGACGCUGAGGCUCGAAAGCGUGGGUAGCAAACAGGAUUAGAUACCCCCGUAGUCCCUGUCUCUUAUAC